rnacentral:rRNA from 1 species
AUACGGAGGAUGCGAGCGUUAUCCGGAUUUAUUGGGUUUAAAGGGAGCGUAGGCGGGAGCUUAAGUCAGCGGUUAAAUGGUGCGGCUCAACCGUGCCCUGCCGUUGAAACUGGGUUUCUUGAGAGUGCAAGAGGCGGAUGGAAUUCAUGGUGUAGCGGUGAAAUGCUUAGAUAUCAUGAAGAACUCCGAUUGCGAAGGCAGUCCGCUGGGGCACGUCUGACGCUGAUGCUCGAAGGUGCGGGAAUCAAACAGGAUUAGAUACCCUGGUAGUCCGCACGGUAAACGAUGAUUACCCGCUGUCGGCGGUAGACAGUCGGCGGCCAAGCGAAAGCGAUAAGUAAUCCACCUGGGGAAUACGCCGGCAACGGUGAAACUCAAAUGAAUUGACGGGG